rnacentral:lncRNA from 1 species
UCCCAGAUGGAGUGCUCAAUGUAGUACCUGGAUUUGGCUCAACUGCUGGUGCUGCAGUGAGCUCACACAUGGAUAUUGAUGCGGUAAUUUACAUGUCAAAAUCAAAUUUCAUAGAUGAUUCACAAACAUUUAUAUUAUCAUUCAACAAUGAUAUUACUAAAUGAGAAUUGAUUAUGAGGUUCUCCGACAGGGAACCAAACAUACGCUAACACUUUGUGCAUGUUUAGAUAUAUUGUGAGUAAAAAUCACAAUGACAGAAGAACAAUUUCCUUUAGCUUUUAUGGCUAUCUGUCGUGAUUUUGCUUCUUCACCAAGAUUUUCCAACGUGUAUCCAAAAAUACACUUAUAGCUUCUGCCUUCUAACCUUAAGUGAUUCGAUAUUUAACCUAAGAAACAAAUAUGCUAUAAGUCAAACAUUUGUAAGUACCAUGAUCUUAAAUAAGAUUUCUUAAAUUGCAUUGGUGUAUGUUUAGGUCAGCUUUACUGGUUCAACACAAACAGGGCGUGAGGUAAUGAAGGCAGCAGCUAGCAGUAACUUGAAACGAGUUUCGCUGGAAUUAGGAGGCAAAUCACCCCUCAUAAUUUUCAAUGAUGCUGAUAUAGACAAAGCUGCUGAACUUGCUCUAUACGGCAUCCUAUUAAAUAAGGUGGAAUGUUAGCUUUCAUGAAAUCAUGUAUUUUCAAACAACAUCCUCAUACUUAUAUCUAUGAUGACAAUAAUUUUAUUCCUCCUUGAUCAAAACAGGGUGAAGUUUGUGUUGCAAGUUCCCGUGUGUUCGUUCAAGAAGGGAUCUAUGAUGAAUUUGAGAAGAAAUUGGUGGAGAAGGCAAAAGCUUGGGUCGUUGGGGACCCUUUUGAUCCUAAAGUUCAACAAGGGCCUCAGGUGAGGAUAAAAUGUACAGACAAAGGGCUUGAGUUCCUUUAAAAUUUCAUACUUGUCGCGCGUGUUCUCGAAUUUUAAUCCACCGAAUAUGGUUUUUAACUGAAAACCAAACAUGCUCUAAGUUGUUAUCUGGUCUUGUAACUAAGAUCUUUGAUAGUAUUUCCUAAAUUUCUUAGUAGGCUUCUGAAGACAGAAAUAAGAUAAAUAAUCUAUAAAUUACAAUUUGUAACUUCGUUAUAAAAGUGACUAUAGAGUUUCCCACCACAUAACCAAACACGCUAAUUAAGAAUCCCGGUCUUUUGGCUAACAUUUUUAUGUUUCUUGUAGGUUGACAAGAAACAAUUUGAAAAAAUUCUUUCAUAUAUUGAGCAUGGAAAGAGAGAAGGAGCUACCCUUUUGACUGGGGGUAAAUCAGUGGGUAACAAAGGCUACUACAUUGAACCAACCAUUUUCUCCAAUGUAAAGGUGAGUUCCAAGUCCAAAAAAGGCACCAAAUUAGGCAUUUUCAGCAUAAUUAGAUAACUGACUAUUUUGUUUCACACUCUGAAAAUUUAGGAGGAUAUGCUUAUAGUACAGGAUGAAAUAUUUGGCCCUGUGAUGGCACUGAAGAAGUUUAAGUAAGUUUCUUUUAGUUAUUAUUUUGUUGUAUUAUUGUGCUUGAUUUUGAAGUGUAAGCAAGUUUCUUUUUGUUAUUAUGAACAACAGGACUGUUGAGGAAGCAAUUAAGAGUGCUAACAAUACCAGAUAUGGUUUAGCAGCUGGCAUUAUGACCAAGAACUUGGAUAUAGCAAACACAGUGUCAAGGUCCAUUCGUGCAGGCAGUGUUUGGAUCAACUGUUAUUUUGCCAUUGACAAUGAUAUUCCUUUCGGAGGGUAUAAGGCGAGUGGGUUUGGAAAAGAUUAUGGAUUGGAAGCCAUUCACAAAUACUUACAAGUUAAAUCUGUUGUAACUCCCAUUUACAAUUCUCCUUGGCUUUGAGAAUCUCAUUCGUGGAUGUGGAAAGGGACUGGACUGAUAUGGGCGGACCGAAUCACUUUACUUUGGGCUUAUCAUUAUCGUGUAACAAAUGGGCCGGGCAACCCAUGGUCCAGCCGGGCCAAAACCCAAGCUAUAAAUAAAAGAGGACCGCCCAAGCGGUGGGGAUCUUAUCAUUUCACGCAUUUUACUCACUUUGUUUACUCUCGCUUGCUCUCGAUAUUGGUUAGCCUUAGUCUGCGGUUCCAUACCGGAACAUUGGCGCCCACCGUGGGGCCUUGGAUAAUUUCCUAGGCUUCGUUUCUCAUCGCGAUGGUGACUCGAUCCGGGGCGAACGGAGAGAGGAAUCAUGUUCAACAAAAUGAUGUUCCUCCCGAUGUUCUUCAGCGGAUCAUGGACGAUCUCAAUGAACUUCGUCAACAUAAUCAGCAGUUGCAAAAUCAACUUACUGAUCUUAAUCAGACUCAGGGUUUACGAGAGGGAGAUCGAAGAAUGGCUGAGACGGUGGUGGACUUUCAACCUUUCACAGAGGAAAUAGCGAACAUUGCCGUCCCAGACAAUUUGAAGACGUUGAAGCUUGAUUCUUACUAUGGCGAUUCAGAUCCAAAGGACCAUUUAGUGUAUUUCAACACGAAAAUGGUCAUUGUAGGCGCAUCAGAUGCGUUGAAGUGCAAAAUGUUACCGUCAACUUUUAAGAAAUCGGCGAUGAUUUGGUUUACAACUCUACCGUCAAGGUCAAUCGUCAAUUUCACAGAAUUAUCUACAAAAUUCUUGUCUCAGUUUUCUACCAGUCGUGCACAAAAAGUGACUCCGGCGACAUUAUUCAACAUUCGGCAGGGAGUAAAUGAGACUUUGCAAUCUUAUAUGGGGCGUUUCAAUCAACUAUCUGUUCAUUUGGAGGAUAAGAUGCCAGAAAUUUGCAUUGCAGCCUUUGAAUUGGGUUUGAGGCCGGGCGGUCUAAACAGUAAUUUAAGCAGGAAACCGGUGGAAACAAUGGUGCACCUACGCGAAAGGGUUCAAGGAUACAUUAGGGAGGAGCAAAGUGAUCAGAUCAAGAAUAACCGCCCGAAUGCGGUGGUAACUGGGCAGAAACAGCAGUUCGAGGCGAGAAAAGGAGCGGUUACAGAUCAAUAUUCGAAGGGAUGGACCGAACGUGGCAACGCAGGGUAUAAUAAUCGUAACCGUUAUGACGGCCGAUUUGAUAACCGUUCUAAUUUCAAAAAUCGUGCUCAACCGUAUGGAGUGCGUGGGCCAGGACAUUCGAUGACGUGGACUCGGAACCAAAAUGACCGUGCAGUACCUUUGGCGGUUAAUUUGACUGAAGCUUUGCACACGUGUUUGGAGGCGAAUGUUAUUCGUUUUCCACGGCAGCCAAAGCCGUCAACGGGUUACGUGGACAAGAAGAAGUGGUGCGAGUAUCAUAGGAUUUCAGGGCAUAAUACUGAUGACUGUUUUACUUUGAAGAAGGAGAUUGAUAAAUUGAUAAAGGCUGGGUAUAUGAAGCAGCUUGAGGGGCGAAGCAAUUCAGAUGAAGCAGGAACUUCAACAAGACGAACCGAAGAUGGAAAAGAGAUUGAGGGUGGUGGUCAAGAUAGGCAAUCGGAUGGAAAAGCAAAGGGGCGAAUUCAUUCUAUUUUUGGUGGAUUUCGUGGCGGAGGAAUGACUAAUUCAGCUCGUAAGAGGUACGUUCACUCCAUUAAUGCUGUUUACUCUAACGAUUGGGGAAGUUGGGCAACCAAUCAACCCGAUAUAACGUUUACUGUGCGAGAUUUUGAGGGAGUACAGCCUCACGAAGACGAUCCAAUUGUUGUAAUGCUGAGGAUUGCUGAUUAUGAAAUUGAGAGGGUACUUCUGGAUCAAGGAAGCUCGGCGGAUUUGAUUUAUGGUGACGCUUUUGAAAAGUUGGGGCUAAAUGAAUCUGAUUUGUUGCCUUAUGAUGGUUCUUUAGUGGGUUUUUCUGGAGAAAAAGUAUUUGUUCGAGGAUAUGUGGAAUUGAAAACUGUCUUUGGAGAAGGGAAGAAUGCGGAGGCAUUUGCUAUUAAGUUUUUGGUAGUAAAAUGUACUUCACCGUACAAUGUACUCAUUGGGAGGCCAUCACUAAACAGAUUGGGGGCGAUCAUUUCUACAAGACAUUUAACGGCGAAGUAUCCAUUGAGCAAAGGAGGAGUUGGAAUUUUAAAGGCUGAUCAAAUGGUUGCUCGAAAGUGUUAUUCAGAAAGUUUUAAGCAGUAUGGGCACAUGGGUAAGAAAGCAGUGAAAGAGGGGCAUCGAGUCUAUGAGGUGGAUUUAGAACAGUCAGAAAUUAUUUUGGAUCCUCGAGAAGGAUUCAGUGAGUACAAGAUGAAAUCAGAAGAGGAAACUAAGGCGAUCCAAAUUGGUGAGCGAAACUUGAAAGUUGGUGUCAAUUUAACUACAAGUCAGGAAAACAGGUUGGUAAAAUUAUUAUCUGAGAAUAUGGAUUUGUUUGCAUGGAGUGCAAGAGAUUUACCAGGAAUCGAUCCGGAAUUUAUAUGUCACAAAUUGGCUUUAAAUCCCGGGGUGAAACCUAUUGUUCAGUUUAAAAGAAAGAUGGGCGAAGAAAAGGCAGAGGCUGUAAAGGUGGAAACAAAUAAGUUACUGGAAGCUGGAUUCAUUAGGGAAGUAAAGUAUCCAACUUGGUUGGCGAAUGUUGUUAUGGUGAAGAAGGCUAAUGGCAAGUGGCGAAUGUGCACAGAUUAUACAGAUUUGAACAAGCACUGUCCUAAGGAUUCUUAUCCUUUACCGAAUAUUGAUAAGCUUGUGGAUAGGGCAUCUGGAUUCGGAAUGCUUAGCCUCAUGGAUGCAUACUCAGGAUAUCAUCAAAUAAGAAUGUAUCAGCCUGACGAGGAGAAAACAGCUUUCAUGACAAAUCAGGCGAACUAUUGCUAUCAGACUAUGCCGUUUGGGCUGAAGAAUGCGGGAGCAACAUACCAAAGGUUGAUGGAUAAGGUGUUUGACAAGCAGGUGGGGCGGAACAUGGAGAUUUAUGUAGACGACAUGGUGGUCAAGUCAGAGGAAAUGGUGGCGCAUUGUUCUGAUCUCGAAGAAGCUUUUGGCGAACUAAGAAAGCAUAACAUGAGACUUAAUCCGGAAAAGUGUUCGUUUGGAAUUCAAAGCGGAAAGUUUUUGGGUUUCAUGAUCACGAGGAGAGGAAUUGAGGCGAACCCUGAUAAGUGUAAGGCGAUACUCGAUAUGCAGAGUCCAACCUCAGUUAAAGAUGUGCAGAAGUUAACAGGAAGAAUAACAGCUUUAUCCAGGUUUCUUCCGUGUUCUGGGGAAAAAUCAGCACCAUUUUUUCAAUGCUUAAGGAAGAACAAAACUUUUCAGUGGACUGAAGAAUGUGAGAGGGCGUUCCAAAGUUUGAAGGAUCAUUUAUCCAAGCCACCAAUUUUAGCCAAACCAGUUCCAGGUAUUUCAUUAUCAAUGUUUAUUUCCAUCUCUGAUAAUGCAGUUAGUUCAGUUUUGUUGCAAGAAAAUAAGGAUGAUAUGAGGAUCAUAUAUUUUGUGAGUCAUGCUCUUCAAGGAGCUGAAAUUAGAUACCAAAAAAUUGAAAAGGCUGCAUUAGCUCUAAUCAUAUCCGCCAGGAAAUUAAGACCUUAUUUCCAAGGCUUUCCAAUUGUGGUAAAAACAGAUUUGCCACUUCGCCAAGUUUUGCAAAAGCCUGAUCUGGCUGGACGAAUGGUUUCCUGGGCUGUUGAAUUGUCAGAAUUUGAAAUCACUUUUGACAGGAAAGGUCUGGUUAAAGCACAGGUAUUGGUGGAUUUUGUUAAUGAAAUGUCUUCCAGUGAGAAAAAUAUGGAAGUUGGCGAAUGGAGUUUGUCUGUAGAUGGUUCGUCUAAUGUCAAGGGAAGUGGAGCUGGAAUAAUCUUAGAAGGGCCAGGUGGCGUGACAAUUGAGCAGUCACUCAAGUUUGACUUUAAAGCAAGCAAUAAUCAGGCAGAGUAUGAAGCUAUAAUUGCAGGUUUGAAGUUGGCGAUCGAGAUGGGGGUCAAGAGCAUAAUGAUUAAAACAGAUUCUCAGAUAGUUUCCAUGCAAAUUCAGGGUGAAUAUCAGGCGAGGGACGCACAGCUGGCUAAGUAUUUAUUGAAAGCUCAGGGAUUGAUAAAGCAGAUAGGCACAGUGCAGGUCAAUUAUGUUCCGCGAGAGGAGAAUACAAGGGCGGAUAUUCUAUCAAAGUUAGCAAGCACCAAGAAGCCGGGAAACAAUAAGUCAGUUAUCCAGGAAGUUUUAAGUAGCCCAAGUAUCGAAGAAGAUGAGACAAUGAUGGUGUUAACUUUAGCGAAUUCAGAUUGGAUGGGGCGUAUCAAACAGUGUUUGGAGGCAGAAGGCUCUAAUGUGUUGACAUUCUCUAAGGAUCAAAUUCGCGAGGCAAGUCGUUACACAUUGUUGGGCGAUCAAUUGUACAGAAGAGGGAUUGAAGUUCCUUUAUUGAGAUGUGUCUCUAAGGAUGAGGCGGAAAGAAUCAUGUUUGAAGUUCACGAAGGUGUGUGUGCAAGUCAUGUAGGGGGAAGAUCUUUGGCGGCGAAAGUGCUCAGGGCAGGGUUCUAUUGGCCAACUUUACGAGGGGAUUGUAUGGAAUAUGUGAAGAAGUGUGGUAAAUGUCAAAUUUAUGCAGAUUUACAUAAGGCGCCGCCUGAGACUCUUAGCUCAAUGAGUUCAUCGUGGCAAUUUGCAAUGUGGGGAGUAGAUAUUCUGGGACCGUUCACUCCAGCAGGUUCUCAAAUCAGAUUUAUUUUGGUGGCGGUGGACUAUUUUACUAAGUGGAUUGAGGCGGAAUCAAUGGCGAAAAUAACAGCAGAAAAAGUCAAAAAGUUUUAUUGGAGAAAAUUGGUUUGCAGAUUUGGCGUUCCAGCAACUAUCGUCUCAGACAAUGGAACACAGUUUACAAGCAGGAGUGUGAAGGAUUUUUGUGCAGGAAUGGGAAUUGAGAUGCGUUUCGCCUCAGUUGAGCACCCUCAGACAAAUGGACAAGUGGAGUCAGCGAAUAAAGUCAUUCUCAAUGGAAUUAGAAAGCGUCUAAGCGAAGCUAGGGGAUUAUGGGCUGAAGAGUUAAUCACGGUCAUUUGGGCGUACAAUACUACUCCUCAAUCAACUACUGGCGAAUCACCUUUUAAGUUGACUUACGGGGUAGAUGCAAUGAUACCAGCAGAAUUACAAGAUGUAACUUUCAGGGUGGCAACUUAUAAUGAAGAGCAGAACGAUAUGAAUAGAGUGGUUGAUCUCAAUUUAGCAGAGGAAACGCAAGCAGAGGUUCGUUUGAGGCAGGCAAUGGUAAAACAGAGGUCGGAAAGGCGAUACAAUUCUAGAGUGGUUCCGAGGCAAAUGAGAGUUGGUGAUUUGGUUCUGCGUAGGAAGGCAAAGGGGCCUGAUGAUUCGAAGUUAUCACCUAAUUGGGAAGGACCUUACAGGAUUCUGCGAGAGCUUGGUCAAGGGGCGUAUCAUUUGGAGGAGUUAUCGAGGCGAAGGGUCCCAAGGGCUUGGAAUGCACAGCAUCUCCGUUAUUAUUACAGUUGAAGUGCAGGGUGGUUCGUUCGGUUUGUUUUGUGUUGUACAGUUUGUUUCAGUGUAUGUUUGUCCAAGACUGUGUUUCGUUGUUUCAGUUUGUGUGUGUUGAAGUCUACGUUUAUUGGUUGUAUCGUUUAAAACUAUGUUUGUUGUGUAAGACUAGAUUUGAUGCACUCUUUUCUCUACCCCAGGCGGGAGAGUUUUUAACGAGGCAUCAAUUAUUAAUGAAUAACAGGUGUGCACUAUUUUCUCUACCCCAGGCGGGAGAGUUUUUAACGAGGCAUAACCUUUUUAAAAUGAUCAAGGGCUUAUCAUUUUACUUAUUUCUUUUACCCAUAGCGGAAACUUAUCAACUAAGGUCUAUCAAUUGGGCGACGUCAGACAAUUGAGAAAAAAGUAAGUCUCUUAAAACAAGAGCAUUCGGCCACGAAUUCAUAAGCACAGUCUUAAAUUGGAUUUAAGCUUGUCCAAACUAAGCACAAGUCUCCACGCGAGCAUACUAAUGAAAUCAAAUAUGUUGACUUUGAUUUCCAUGAGUAACUAUGUCAAAAAUGAAAAAUUUGACUAAGUUAUGUACACAAAGGCCUUAUGAUUCCAAAGUAGUUGAUUAAGUUUAAACUUUAGCAUAUUUCAUUAUGUACGGCAAAAUGUGGGAAUAACGUAUUCAACUAAACGACGAAGGCGGAUCAAAUUUGGUGAAAGGUUAGUAAAAAUUAUUCAUGUUAAGUUAUACUUUGAGAUUACUGAUUGAAAGGUUAGUAAAGCGCGGUAUUAUUAAUUAUAUUAAUUUGUCUAAUUGAUCUAGUUGUUGUUGGAUGAAUUAUGUUAUUGAGAUCGAAAGAAUAACUUAAUGGUUUCUAUGUUAAGUUAAGAUGUGAUGUCUUCAUAGAAUAGGAAUAGGAACAAAAACAUAUUAAGUGUUGGAAACAUGUUAUUAAGUGUUGAAGUAAUUUAGACGGGAGGCAGAACCAUUAGAAUUAUGCAAUUUGAGAGUUGAUAUAUAGAAAACACAUCAUAUUAAUAGUGCUUGAUAAACAUUACAUAAUUAUCUUAGGAUAAACCGUGGAGCUAAUUGCUCAACACUUACAGAGAUAAAGAUAAAACAUAGCAGAUUUAACUAACUUAGAAAAUAAAAAAAAAAGAAGACUAAAGGAUAAUUCAUGUAGUACAUAUGCUUGAACAGGGGUGGAACUAAUGAUUUUCUCCUUCGCCUUCAUUGUUGUUGGCGUUCCCAUCUUCUUCAUUUUUAUCUCCUUCAUAUUCUUCUUCUUCUUCCUCAUCGCCAGUGUCAGGGUUGAUCAACUUGCCAUCAACAAUCCUGGCAUAAGGAUUGGAACCGGCAAGGUUGAUAGAAACUUGAGGAUUUAAGAAAAGAAUUUGCUCUUUGGCUUUUGAAAAUCCAGCUUCCAACUGAUCAAGGAUGGAGUUUUUUAGUUCAGAAAUUUCAGAAUGUAACUUAGAGUUUUCAUUCUUCAAUUCAGAGUUGGCAGAAUUGAGUUCAGUGAUUUCUGCUUGGGAUUUCACAAGUUCUCCUUCCUUAACUUUCUGGGUGGCGCUCAAAGCUUCAGCAUGUUUCUUCAAGCGCUCAUUUUCCAGGGCCAAAUCUGCGGCCUUCUUCUCACUUACUUUAUUGGAGGAAUCCAAUAAUUUCAUCGUAGCCUUCAUCUUUAGGAUCUCUCUUUCUUUUUCUUCAAGUUGUUUGGCGGAAUUAAUCCCGUCAAAACCAGCGGUCUCCAGGUCGACCAUUUUUGAAAUAGCCGCAAUUUCCAGUCCUUUUGUCAUGAUGGCUUGACAAGCUUCCUUUAGCCCAAUCCUUUUGAUCUUUUCCUGAUCCGCCUUGAACACCAAAUUGGUUUCCACCAAUGCGUUGAAGUCAAUCUUUGAAUCCCAUAGUGAAGUUACCUCUUCAGAAGUAAGUUCUUCGAAUUCCUUCAGCACGCUUUUCCAUGUCGGGGGCGGAGCGCUUGAAGACCCACUUUGAUGCGCCAAAUGUUGAGGGUUAUUCUUCAUCAUAAAUUUCUCCAUUGAAGGUUGAGAUGCGUCCUUUCCUUUGGUUGGUUCCGGAGUUUCAUUCCUUUUCUUUUUCUUUUGAGGGCGAUUAGAUUCAGUGCCUGAAUGACUAGCAUCGGCAUCAAUCAAAGUCUUCGCCGGGUUUCUUUUUUCUCUUGCAGCUUGUUGUUCACGACGGAAGCGUAGGAUAUCAUCAUCAGAAAGGCGAGUCAUUUUCGCUGAAACAGAAAAGAAAAGUUAGAUACAGCCAACACUUGAAAUACAAAGAUACUGAAAUUCAAGAGUCAUACCCACAUAUUCACCCAAUUUGUUUUCAUAAUGGGCAUUUAGAAAUUCAGUGAGGUUCAAAUCAAUGCUAGAUAGAAAGGUGCAAUCUACCAUUUCUUCAGGGGUAAGGGAAUCAUCAGGAAGUUUGAUGAUAGCUUCAUAACGAGCGGUCCAGUAGAAGGGGAACUUUGGGCUUCCGUCAUUGAAGUAAAAGACGUCUUUGCAUUUUUCAGAUUCGUUUAGCCUAAAAAAUUUCCCUUUGAAUUGUUUGUAAUGGCUUCUAAACAAGGUAAAUAGACCUUUUCCCCUGGCGGCGGCUAAGGAAAGAUAUUCACCUUUAAUGCUUCUACUACUGGUUUCAAAAAAGUAGAAAAAUCUAUUGCUCGUGGGUUCAAUACCUAACAGUUGACACAAAAGUUCAAACGCCCUGAGGUAUGCCCAACUAUUACAGUGAAGUUGUGUCGGAGAAACAUUUAGUAAAGUCAAAACGGUGCAGGUAAAAUCUGAGAGGGGGAGUUUAUACUUUAGGUCAGAGAAAAUGUUUUCAAAGAAGUAGGUGUGGUUUUUUCCGUUAGGGUCAGGAGCCCCAAAGCAACAAGGUUCAGUAGGCGAGCAGGGAACUAUGUCAAGGUACACAUCUUGGCCGUCAGAACGAAAGGUAUUUUCAGUGAUUAAAUCCAUUACAGUUUUAACAUUGCAGAAUUUAGUAAACCUAGUUUUGACUUUGCUAGUAACCCACAUAUCAACUGCAAGGGUAGAAGUUUUAGAAGCUUUAGAGACUUUACGGGUGCGUUUUGCAUCCAUUUUGAAAAGAAUUCCUGAAAUUGUAAAGGAUUCAGGGGUUAUGACAUGUAGCGGGGUACAAUUUGAGUUAUAGUUGUGAAGGAGAGUAGUUUUUAAGAAUGAUUUGGGUAAAACAAGAAGCUGAAGAGGGAAAGAUUUUACAUGAAGGGUUUAGUGUAGAAAGACGAAAAAAUUGCACAAGCAGGUUGAGUGAGGAGUGCUUACCAGGAAAAGGAUCUGAUGAACUUGGCUAAUUUGGGGGAGUUCUGGCAAUGUUGGAGAACACUUGCAAGUAAAUGCAGGAAACUUUACGAGUACACGAGGUUAGUAAAAUUUUUGAAAGAGAAGAGUGAAGUAGUUUGAGGUAAAAAAUGAUUGCUAUAUAUAGAGAAACGGUGGAAGAUGAAGAGAUGAGUUAGAAAGGUGUGGUUAAAGGCACUUAAGGUAAAUGAUGAGCAAACGCGUGGUUUGCGUGAAUCCACGCGUUCAUUCAAGCCACACAUUCAAAUUCAUCAAGGCGGUGAAUCAGCGCGCCAUAAAGAGACGACGUUUGGCAGAAAGGUAGCGAUUGAAUGAAGAGUGACGUCAGUUAAUAGGUGAAUGCGUCGUUUCGAGGAAGUCGAGUCUUUUCAGAGAAGAGUUACUCUAUGAGUGGGUUUUAAAUGCAUAUCUUAAUUAAUGUGAGUAGCAUAGCUUAGGUAGGCCUUAUGCAUUACAAGUUUCAAGAUAUCUGUGGAAUAUUUGUGAUGAUUACAGCAGGUACAAAAAUCCGGAAGGGGAUUGAUUUGGUGCACAGUGAUUGAGGUGAUGGGCAAAGCGUCAUUUAGACAUCACGUGUCACAUAGAAAGAAUUAUUUUAUAAUGAUUAGCCUAGUAAAUUUUUACUUUGUUGUUAGCCUUAUUUCAUUGAAGCCUGCGUGCUCAUAAAUUGGUUCACAUUGUACACGGGCGUACCAGAAGUUGUGGGCCUCAAUAAGACACUUUCGUUUUAGUUCUAAAACAUCAGUGUCUUGUGGGCCUGUGGACUGAUAUGGGCGGACCGAAUCACUUUACUUUGGGCUUAUCACUAUCGUGUAACAAAUGGGCCGGGCAACCCAUGGUCCAGCCGGGCCAAAACCCAAGCUAUAAAUAAAAGAGGACCGCCCAAGCGGUGGGGAUCUUAUCAUUUCACGCAUUUUACUCACUUUGUUUACUCUCGCUUGCUCUCGAUAUUGGUUAGCCUUAGUCUGCGGUUCCAUACCGGAACAGGGACAUAUGUUAAUUGGCUAGUAUGUUUUUAAUUGCUCUAUGAAUAUGAUCAUAAGAGAUUAAUAAAGUAAGGAACUUUUAUUAACAUUGCAUGAUUUAAAAUAUUUGUUAUUUUAUGAAAUGUGCUAGCAAAAUGCACUGUAUACUUGUAAUUAGUUUAAAGAGUAAAAUACUACGCAUUAGAAGAAGAAAUUUAAGAAUUGGUAUUGAGUCACCUCUCAUGUAAAAACACGGCAAAAAUUCAUUUAGUGAGCUUCGUCGACAGGAUAAUUUCGUAAUCUGCAGUAAUUUAAAUAACUUUAUAUGUACACAUACAUAAUUUAUCUUCUAUCUCAUUUUCGGUUCGGAUGAGGAUCCUCUAUAGUACAACCAACUACAGGGGAUGCAGUUCAUGAUCUGACCAUUAAAAAUUAUUUUAAAUUUUUAUUUAUCAACAUUUUGUUUAUUCCAAAACAAUUUUCAGUGGUGAAGAUCUCUGCAGUUACAACUUACAAAUGUAGAAGAUCGUAAUCUCAUUUUCACGCCCUUUUCUUUUUUCCUAUUAUAUCCAAAUUUAUAUCUUACAAGUUACAACCUCUCUUUCUUCUAUUACUUUCUCUUUACCUAUUAUAUAUACACAAUUUAUCUCCCAAUUUUAUACGCAUGUAGUUUCUCGAUUUAGUUUCUUCAAUUUCACUUCCCUUUGUAGCGUGAACGUAUUAUUUUCGAUAAUAAAAUGCAACAUUCACCAAAUACCAUUUGCUAAUGCAUUUCAUACUCAGCUAUUUGUCUAUCUCUUAUUUGACACUUCACUUUGCCAGUACCAACUCUAAUUUUGUAAUGUAAUAAUAGACCUUUAAUUAUAUAUACCAACACAUGUUGGCUCAAUUGCAAGUAAAUUUCCCAUUAAAAAAUUGUGUUUGACUCCCGUUGUUGAUGUUAGACUAUAUUGAUGUACGUCUUUGUGCGAUUUAUAAGCAUCUCUAUAAAUAAAUUAUGAUCUCAGAUACACGCUCUGACCUGUAGUAAUGAUUAGAGACCAAACCACCUCAGACAUUUAACUAUAUUUUAAAUAACAUAUUACAUGUUAAUAUACGAUAGUGUGACAUAAUACUAAUCAAUUUUUUAAUUUGUGUAUAAGUUUAACCUUAGCCUGUUUUAUAAUAAUUUUUAAUUCAAUAUGGUCGGAUAAAAAUAAUUUUUAGUAAGUUGAGUGUGAAGGCUAUAGGCAUAUGAUAUCAAUCAUUGUAUCCCACAUUUAUUUAAUGAUGAUAAAGGUUUUAAUUAUUGAUUACUGAACUAAUGAUUGUAACUUUUGAUGUUCCACUUACCCCACUGUCAAUCCAUAUUUGCUUUUGUCCCUCUAUAUAAUCAAUCGUGUUCCCAGAUUCCUGAAACCAAAUCAACCUUCUCUUUUCUCUACAUUGAUCGUUGUUAACAAAAUACACAGAUGAGUACUGAUCUCUCUAGCUCCAAUAAUGGCCACGACACCACAUUUGUCAAGAUACCCACCAUCAAGUUUACAAAGCUCUUCAUCAAUGGAGAAUUUGUUGAUUCCAUAUCAGGUUCUUGACUCUACCACCCUCUUUCUAUUUUUGUUCCGGCACUAGUUUUCUCUGUGUUACUCCCUUUACCCCUUUCAUGAAUUCUUUCUAGCUUAUUUCUUUGACUUUGAGUACAUUUUCAAUGUUAAAAUGAAACAUGAGACAAUGUUAAGUGCAUGUUUGGUUUUCAGUUAGGAAGUCUGUUUGAAGCAUUGAAAUUCGAGAUCACGAUUUCCAAUGCAAAUUCAGCCAACGGAAUGCACUUAUUGGGUUGAGUGAAUGUGCUUUCACAUUCACCCAACUGAAAACCAAACAGGCUCUAAUUAGGAAGUAAUGAAGUUCUACGAGUUUGCUUUUAAUUUUCAGUGCAUCAUUCAAAGUUACACAAGUUGUCAUUUUACAAAGACAUUAUUUCUAAUUUUAAUUUUAACUAAAAUAUGGUUCAAUUUUUUUUAACUAAAAUAAUAAAUCAAGUAACCUGUUUUUCGAUGUAACAAAAAAAAUAAAUCAAGUAACCGUUUAAGCUUAUCUUUUUUUUUGAUACAAGCAACCAAAAAAGCAUUAAACAAGUUUUACACCAAAUGUGCGUCAAAUUUAAACUCUUAAAAAAACUCAUAUCAAAAUGAGAAAAAGCAUGAAUGUCGUUUUCUAUAAAUAAUUUAAUUACUAUCCACUGAAAAUAUAAAACAGUUUUACACGAUCAUCUAACACGACUAACAUUUUUUUAUUAUUAAAAGGAGCUACAUUUGAGACAAUAGAUCCUAGAACUGAGGAGGUGACGGCGAGAGUCUGCAAGGGAGCUAAAGAAGACAUCGAUGCUGCUGUUAAAGCGGCGCGUGAGGUGUUUGACCAUGGUCCAUGGCCUCGCUUGCCCGGCACUGUACGUUAUUCUUUUGCUUUCGUAUCUUUUUUAAUUUCAUUAUUCAUUUUCAUCAUGUUGUGGGAGUUUUUCUUUUCACUUCAAUUAAUUUAUAAUUUAUAAUUAAACUAGCCUGUCUUUUUGUUUAUCAUUUAUACUGUCAUACUGAAUACCUAUAUCUAUUAUUAAUAUCUAAUUCACUAAUAAUCAAUAUGGUAAUAUAUCUUGAGCUGAUGAUUAUAGCGGCCACCCUUGACACGGCCUGUAAUAUUGUUGGUGACAUGUAUUUGUUUGGAGAAUGGAUGCCCCAUUAUUUAACUAAAAAAAUUAACAACAGGUAUAAUGUAUACAUUACAUGCAAUAUUGUGAUUGAUUAAUAGGAAAAUAUUAAUACUUGACAUGUUAUGGUGAUCAGGGAAGAGCAAAACUUUUGAUGAAAUGGGCAGACCUAAUUGAACAAAAUGCAGAAGAAAUAGCAGCAUUAGAAGCGAUUGAUGGUGGCAGGCUGUACCAUUUUGCUAAGAAUUUUGAAAUUUCUGCAUCAGCAAGCACCCUGCGUUACUAUGCAGGUGCUGCUGAUAAAAUUCAUGGUGAGGUGUUCAAAACGUCCGGUGAGUUCCACGCUUAUACACUGUUGGAACGAAUUGGUGUUGUGGGGCACAUUAUUCCCUGGAAUGCCCCCACUGCCUUGUUCUUCACCAAGGUUAGCCCUUCCUUAGCUGCAGGGUGCACCAUGGUCCUCAAGCCUGCUGAACAAACACCUCUCACUGCUUUGUUUUGUGCUCAUUUGGCUAAACUGGUACUGAAUUAUAUAUGUGAUCAAAUGGUUCAUUUCUUCUUAUCAAACAUUGAGUAACUGCCUAAUUUCGUCCUUGAAAGUGUAAAUGUCAAGCAAGAUAGUCCAUAGAAGAAGGAAAUAUCCUCCGCAAUCCCUGAUUGUGUCAAAUGUCGGAGAAUCUAGUCGCGCUACAGAGACUAACUUUACCAAUGUUUUAUAAAAACAAAAAGACUAAAUUGAUCGACAUUCAACACAAUCAAGGACUAUGAGAGUAUUUCCUUUAGGGACGAAAUUGAGGAUUCACUCAUCAGACAUGGGUCUCUUGAUGCUAAAUGCUAAUGUGAUCAGAAUUCCUGUUUUCUUAAAGGCUGGAAUCCCAAAUGGAGUGCUCAAUGUAGUACCCGGAUUUGGCUCAACUGCCGGUGCUGCAAUAAGCUCACACAUGGACAUAGAUAAGGCAAGUUACAUGUCUUACAUUUGUAACUAAAAUGUUCUUAAUCAGGAUUAGAAUCCUCUCAUGUUAAGAGUUCACAUGAUAGUGUCAUGUUGAAAUUUAGUCUCUGCCUAUUAUAUAAAUAUUCAUAGCUCCCCACCUAUUAAAUGUUUAUCAAGAGAGAUAUUAACACAAUUCAAGAUCAUGUUAUGUGACAUAAGAGAUGACAUAAGAGGAUCAGCUUCUCUUUUCUGAUCAGAAUCAAUUCUAAACUCCAAAAGCUACCCACAAAAGCAUCUUCCCACAAUUGAUUCUGGCUUCAAAAUCAACUGUGAAAGAAUUUCCAAACAUGCACUCGAUGAAACUGCUAAAAUUUCCUUGAUUGUGUGUGUACCUGCAGGUCAGCUUCACUGGUUCAGUUGAAUCGGGUCGUAAAGUAAUGCAGGCUGCAGCUUUGAGUAAUUUGAAACCAGUUUCACUUGAAUUAGGAGGCAAGUCACCUCUCAUUAUUUUCAAAGAUGCUGAUAUAGACAAAGCUGCUGAUCUAGCUCUCAUAGGAAUCUUGUAUAACAAGGUGAAAUUACCUUCAGGAACUACAUUUUUUCUUAGAGCAUCCAAUUAUAUCUCUACCAAGCCAACAUUUUAUUUAUUGGUUUGUGAUAACUUCAGGGAGAAGUUUGUGUCGCAAGUUCCCGCGUGUUCAUUCAGGAAGGGAUCUAUGAUGAAUUUGAGAAGAAGUUGGUGGAGAAGGCAAAAGCUUGGGUCCUUGGGGACCCAUUUGAUCCUAAAACUCAGCAAGGACCUCAAGUAAGGACAUUAUAUAGUAUUAGUAGCAGUGUUUUAUGUAUACUAUUCUAAAAUAUGUUUGGUUGUUUCUUUUGUAGUAGUAAUUGUGUGUUUUGUUGCACAUUUGGGGGUGGUUCUAUAAAUGUUUGACAAUCGACUUAGAGAAUUGAUUUUUGUCCCAAAAUUAAUUUUGCGGAGAAGCUAGGGAGAGUAGCUUAUGCGGUUGUGAGAUUUCACAGCUGGAUUUCAUAACAUUGCCAUCACUUUUCCCAUUAACAUACCCAAACAUAAAUCAAAUCAUUUCCAACUCACUUUAACCACAAUCAAUUUUUCCAAAAUCAAUUCUAUCUAAAUUCAAAUCAGAUAGGUUGAUCCAAACAUGCCAAUUAUUAUAGUUCAAAUGUUAACAUAAGAGUUUUAUAUUGUAGGCUGACAGGAACAAUUUUGAAAAAGUUCUAUCCUAUAUUGAACAUGGAAAGAGAGAAGGAGCCACCCUCUUAACAGGAGGCAAAGCAGUGGGCAGCAAGGGAUACUACAUUGAACCUACAAUUUUCUCCAAUGUAAAGGUGAUCAAUUUAAGUUCUAACUCCAUCAAAGUAUAAAACUGGGUAUCUUCAACAUAGUUUGAUAAUUAACCAUCAAGUUUUUUCUUUUUGUCAUAAUAAAAAUUUAACAACCUAUUUAGGAGGACAUGCUUAUAGCACAGGAUGAAAUAUUUGGCCCUGUCAUGGUACUGAUGAAGUUUAAGUAAGUUCUAGUUUAAAUUUAUAUUUAUUCUUGUUGUUUUGGUACCAAAAAUAAGUUUGUGAGCAUGUUCAUGAUUUGAUGGAUUGAAGCACAUAUGAACAGGACUAUUGAGGAAGCAAUUAAGAGUGCCAACAAUACCAAAUAUGGCUUAGCAGCUGGCAUUGUGACCAAGAACUUGGAUACUGCAAACACUGUAUCGAGGUCCAUCCGUGCAGGCAUUGUUUGGAUCAACUGCUACUUGACCUUAGACAGUGACAUUCCUUUUGGAGGAUACAAGAUGAGCGGAUUUGGAAAAGAUUUGGGAUUGGACGCCCUUCACAAGUACUUGCAAGUUAAAUCUGUUGUCACACCUAUUUACAAUUCUCCUUGGCUCUAAACGUCUCAUGAGUAUAUUCAAAGAAAAAAGAGGGUUUGCAUUCAAUUUACAAUCUUGUAGAUGUGAGUGUGAUGGGAAGGAAGAAGAUGUGUGACUAGCCAUGCCAUAAAAAUAAUAGAAGAUGGAGUAAGAUGUAAAAUGGGUGUUAAGAAAAUUGUGAGAAAACAAGGCAUAUGUACUAUGUAUCCAUUUUUUUCCAUUGUGUAUUUUCAGCUUUGAUUCAUUCACACCAUUCAUUCUCUUUUAUCUCAUUUCCACUCAUUUUUUCUUCUUAUCUCUUACAUCUUUUCCUAUGACGUCACCUAUCAUAUCCCUAAUUUCUCUCUUUUUUCUUCCUUUCUCUAUUUGGGUGUGAGUGUGAUAUUGGUGCGAACAUAAACUUAUCCAUGUAUUUUUGUUAUUUUGCCAAUUUUAUACAAAAGUAUAGUUAAAUUUAUGAAACAUCAUGAACAUAAUUAUAUAUAAUGAAUAAUCAAAUAUAAUAGCAUAUGAUUACAUGAUUUUAGCACACCAAACAUAAAAGAAAAUUUAAAAAAGGAUGAUGAUAUACCUCUUAUAUCCAUUGAUACUUGACUUGAUUUUGAAAGCCUUUAAUCAACUUGGAUAUCUUUCGAUUGAAGGAUAUGAUCUUCCUUCCACUCUGCUAAAUACAGUGAUCAUACUCUGCAGUUGUCUUCUCAGUCUCAAGGCCUAAAGCACCAUAGUAUCCCUUGCCCCCAUGUGUUAUACCUGGAUCAUCAGUAUCAGAAACUUAAGCUAUUUCCAUAAACACUUCAAUAAUCCAAACCAAGUACCAAAAAAAAGAGACCAGAAACAACAUAUAAAUGGGCCAAAUCACUUAACCUGACAGUGUCCUCCCCAAAAUUGUUGAGACAGAGAAGAAUACCUUCCUCCCUAAGCCAAGGAAACGCCACAGACAGAAGUGGAGGGGGCG